UACGUAGGGUGCGAGCGUUGUCCGGAAUUACUAGGCGUAAAGGGCAGGCAGGCGGAUCCAUAAGUUUAUCGUUUAAGGCGUCGGCUUAACCGGCGUAGGGCGGUAGAUACUGUGGAUCUGGAAUGCGGUUGGGGAAGACAGAAUUCCUGGUGUAGCGGUGGAAUGCGCAGAGAUCAGGAGGAAUACCGAAGGCGAAGGCAGUCUUCCAAGCCGUUAUUGACGCUCAACUGCGAAGGUGUGGGUAUCAAACAGGAUUAGAUACCCGUGUAGUCCCUGA
rnacentral:rRNA from 1 species